rnacentral:rRNA from 1 species
UACGUAGGGUGCAAGCGUUGUCCGGAAUUAUUGGGCGUAAAGAGCGUGUAGGCGGUCCGGUAAGUCGGCUGUGAAAGUCCAGGGCUCAACCCUGGGAUGCCGGUCGAUACUGCCGGACUAGAGUUCGGAAGAGGCGAGUGGAAUUCCAGGUGUAGCGGUGAAAUGCGUAGAUAUCUGGAGGAACACCGGUGGCGAAGGCGGCGUCCUGGACCAAUACUGACACUGAAACGCGAAAGCCAGGGGAGCAAACGGG